AGGGCCUUGAUGUCAACGGUAGCAUGGCGGUCUCCAAAACCGCUCGUAGGGGUUCGAAUCCUCUAGGCCCUG
rnacentral:tRNA from 1 species